UACGUAGGGGGGCAAGCGUUGUCCGGAAUCAUUGGGCGUAAAGAGCGUGUAGGCGGCUUGGUAAGUCCGCUGUGAAAGUCCAGGGCUCAACCCUGGAAAGCCGGUGGAAACUGUCAAGCUUGAGUCCGGAAGAGGCGAGUGGAAUUCCUGGUGUAGCGGUGAAAUGCGCAGAUAUCAGGAGGAACACCGGUGGCGAAGGCGGAUCUCUGGGCCAUUACUGACGCUGAGGAGCGAAAGCGUGGGGAGCGAACAGG
rnacentral:rRNA from 1 species